GCAGGAAAUGCAGCAGGACAUCGCAUCUUUCAAAGUUAGAUGGCAAGCAUAAGGCAGCUGAGUGAUGGCAGAGGAGGAAGGGCCCUCCUUCCGAGUUCCAGAUGUGCUGGAAUGUAAUACAGCCCAGGGCAUGUGACCGUCUCAAAUGGCCUACUUGGAAGACUAUGCAAAUAUUUCCAGUAAUUUUCUGUGGCACAGAAGGUUUCUGAAGUUUAGCUUGAGGAGUUACAUUGACGACCCCUUAUGAGUCACAUAAGAUGAUUUCCUUCCUCCGCUUAAUCAUCCGCUGUGGGAUAGGCAGGAUUAUUAGCGGACUUUUUGGUACAAAAGAGGAGAAUAAGCUCAGAGUGCCUGCAAAUAAAUUGCAAUAAAGAAACGUGUGGACCAACCAGAAGGAGAGCAGGCCUUCGCUAUGUGAGGAAACUACCAUGAAAGUGAGAACCAGAUGGCCCCCAGUGGUGAUGGUGUCGGGGUUGCCUUGUCAGUGGGAAGAGGAAAGGGGGAGUGCUCACACCUUUUCUCCUGGCAUGCCUCUGCAUCCCGGGACUGUGCUCAGGUGGUAAGUUUCUAUGAGCAAUGACAACACAGAACAGCACAACCAACAGAGCACCUGGGCUCCAGAACCUUCCAACCGUGAAGAAAAAAAUACACGAGUGAAUGGAAGAAAGGCAGGGUGAGGGAACACAGAAUGGAAGGGCAGAAAAUAGCAACAUGCCCUCUUAAACACUCUUUAUGCUUCAGAAUAACUUUUUUCCCCCCUAAGGAUGUAUGUUCUUUUCUUUUGCAAAUACAGUUCUGAAGGAUCGUAGGUGGGCUUUUCCCUGGGAAGCACUUUUCUCUGCUGUGUGUAACAGCCCUGCCAUAGGAAAGAGCCCUCAAGUGGGUAUGUACACACAGUCAUGUCCCAUGAGGUCCCCCUGCUCUGGUCUCAACGUGAACCCACUUGCUUGAGCCACUGUUGGUUGCUGAUCUUUCGUUUUCUGUGCCCCAUCUCUGUUGGUGCUCAGAGAACAAAGCCCAUGAGUUCUGGAAGGACAUUUGAGAUUCCGUGGUUUGUUACCAUUUUGUGCAUGAGGUUUCCUUACAAAAUUUCUUUGAGAAGUCCUCCAGUCUCCUGGGACUCUCCCUCCGCCCCCAUCCACAGCCCCCUAUGAUAGGAAGUGAGAUACUAAGUGUAACUCCUCUAGGGCAGAACUUAGGACACCAAGAACUGACGGGACACAUCACUCCUCCUUCAGAGAGUUCAGGCAGACACCAGGAGGACACGGCUGCAGCGCCCUGAAAUCUGCCCUUGUAACUUCCACCCAUGACUCCAAGCAUAGCCCCUGCAACUCUGCACGUGGUCCCUGCAAGGAUCAAGCACACUUCAGUCACAGCGACCCUCUGAGGCAGACACGCUCGUCAUUGGUGUUUAGAAACAAAAAUGACCACCAAGCCAGAGCAUAUGCAGGUCCGAAGCACCCAAGGUCACCAGGAGGCGAAGCACAAAGACUUGAGCCAAACACAGAUGCGACGACUCCAGAGCCCACUCUCCUCCCUGCCUUCUGUUCUACCUCUCGGCGGCUCUGGGUUCCCAACGCAGCCUGUAUCGUUUUGUGACUGAAGUUCUUUGGAACUUUAGCCUCGAGGCGGUGCUUUCAGAGACCCUGUUUUUCUCCUGCCCUUAUCUCUGGACACACGCCCAUCUUAUAAAUGACGCACGUGAACUGCGGAGCCUGGCAGCCAGCCUCCUGUCCUCAGGCACGCCCGGCUUUCCUUCAUGUGAGUCAGAAUUGCAUCUGGGAGGGCCGCCUUGCCAGCCUCACUGGGGAAUCUGCCUCCUUUUCUCUGACCCUCCCAGCGGCCUUGCUAAUGCCCUGGUUGUGUGUGACUUUGGGAAACCUUUGCUUUUUGGUCUCUGCUUCCAGAAGGACCCAUCUCUUCAUCUUCAUUAACCAGUAGUCAACCUUCGUGCUAUUUUCAAAACCUGGGGAUUGUCACCACGAUGAGCCAGAUAUUCUGCCUUCAGUCUGACAGGUGCACAGUGAAGUCUCCAAUAAUGUCUCUCUCUCUCUCACUUUACUGUGAGACUUGGCAGCUGAACCAGGGUCAUACCAUCAAAGCUCACCUUCUCCUUCAUUUGGUGCCUUACACCAUCUUCAAACAAGAACACACUUUUAUAAAGAAGAGAUCAUUUUUUAAUAUUGAAGACAAGCUUUAUUUAUUAAAAAAUCUUGAAAUCCCAUUGGUGUUGUGUAGGAACCUUGCUCAAUCUGGAACUAUCUGAAAGAUUUUCAAACAAAGAACAGGGAACCUGCAGGAAGAGCAACGUCCCUAACCCUGGGAGGUACUGGUGGUCAACGGUACACAUGGGAUACGGACUGGAAAUGACCUCUUCCCACACAGUGCUGGAACAACUAAAGACAAGCAACUGUACCUUAGACUACACUAGAUACAUGUGUGUGAGUGGGCUUUGCCCAUGUGACUGAUUUAUUAUUGAGAGUGGAGACAAUCACUUUUCUUUGCUCUCUCUCUCUAUUGGUCCUUAAGAUGUCCUCCUUUGUAAUUAUGAUAUACUUAAAAUAACCUCUUAAUGCUCGUGCUCCUUCAGUAGGUGAAAGGUCAGUACGUUUCAGAAAGAUGGGGCGCUUCUGGUGAAGAACAGGUGGUGUGGGAGGGGCGGAGGUGGGGUCACUUGGUAGGUGUGUGGAAGACCUAACAAGCAGCAUGCUAUAUCACAUGCAAGCACCAAAAUAGCUCGGUGCUUUAGCUUAUUAUUCCCAUUUUAUAGUUUAGAAAUAGAGACAAGAAUGGUAAGCAAUCAUGUAAGAUUUAUCUUCUUUUUAUCCCUUACCUUGAACCUAUAGCUUUACUAUUUCAAAGGUGGAGCUAUUGCCAAGAACCCAACUCCUUCUGCAUUAGUUAGGGUUCUCUAAAGAAGCAGAAAGGAGAUUUAUACCCACACACUAACACACAAACACACAUACACAUGCAUAGUAAGGAAUUGGCUCAUGUGAUUGUGAAUGCCAAGAUGUCCCAAAUUCUGUAGGGGGCAAACUAGAGACCUGGGAGAACCAGUGCAUAUUUCCAGGCCCAGUCCGAAGGCCUGGGGCCCAGAGGAGCCAGUGAUGUAGGCUCUAGUCUGAAAGCCAGCAGGCAUGAAACUCUAGAAAAGCUGAUAUUUUAGUCCUCGUCUGAAUUUUCAAAGUGACUGAUGUCCCUGCUCAAUCAGUAAGUCAGGAGUUCCCUUUUGCCCAGACCUAAUUUUUCCCUAUUCAAGCCUUCAACUGGUGAAGCCCAUCCUCACUAGAGAGGACAAUCUGCCUUACCGUCUACAGAUGAAAGUAUUAAUCCACUCCAGACACACCCAGAAUAAUGUUCAACUGAAUGUCUGGGCACCCUA